rnacentral:rRNA from 1 species
GAGCACUAUCCGCCCUCGGCACCGUAUGAGAAAUCAAAGUCUUUGGGUUCUGGGGGGGCUUGCGGCUCAAUUUGACUCAACACGGGAAAACUUACCAGGUCCAGACGUAGUGAGGAUUGACAGAUUGAUAGCUCUUUCUUGAUUCUGCGGGUGGUGGUGCAUGGCCGUUCUUAGUUGGUGGAGUGAUUUGUCUGGUUAAUUCCGUUAACGAACGAGACCUUAGCCUGCUAACUAGUCGCGGCGAUCUCGAUCGGCCGCCGGCUUCUUAGAGGGACUUUGCAAGCAACUGCAAGGAAGUUUGAGGCAAUAACAGGUCUGUGAUGCCCUUAGAUGUCCUGGGCCGCACGCGUGCUACACUGACGCAUACAGCGAGUAUCACCAGCUCCGUGAGGCUGCUGGUAAU